AUUGAACGCUGGCGGCAUGCCUUACACAUGCAAGUCGAACGGCAGCACGGGAGCAAUCCUGGUGGCGAGUGGCGAACGGGUGAGUAAUAUAUCGGAACGUGCCCAGUAGUGGGGGAUAACUGCUCGAAAGAGCAGCUAAUACCGCAUACGACCUGAGGGUGAAAGGGGGGGAUCGCAAGUCCUCUCGCUAUUCGAGCGGCCGAUAUCGAAUUAGCUAGUUGGUGGGGUAAAGGCCUCCCAAGGCAAUGAUCUGUAGUUGGUCUGAGAGGACGACCAGCGACACUGGGACUGAGACACGGCCCAGACUCCUACGGUAAGCAGCAGUGGGGAAUUUUGGACAAUGGGCGCAAGCCUGAUCCAGCAAUGCCGCGUGCAGGAAGAAGGCCUUCGGGUUGUAAACUGCUUUUGUCAGGGAAGAAAUCCUCUAGGUUAAUACCCUUGGGGGGAUGACGGUACCUGAAGAAUAAGCACCGGCUAACUACGUGCCAGCCGCCGCCGUAAAAC
rnacentral:rRNA from 1 species